rnacentral:rRNA from 1 species
UACGUAGGUGGCAAGCGUUGUCCGGAUUUACUGGGCGUAAAGCGCGCGCAGGCGGGCCGGUCAGUCUGGGGUGAAAGCUCACGGCUCAACUGUGAGAGGUCCCCGGAUACUGCCGGUCUUGAGGUACCUAGAGGAGAGCGGAAUUCCCGGUGUAGUGGUGGAAUGCGUAGAUAUCGGGAGGAACACCAGUGGCGAAAGCGGCUCUCUGGGGGCGACCUGACGCCGGGGCGCGGAAGCGUGGGGAGCGAACCGG